CUGCUGAUGAGACCAAGAUGUUCACUGUUGGGGAUAGAGUUCUAGCCACCAGCCAUUGACUGUACAAUCAGGAGGAAAAGUCAAAUGUAUGGAGGAGAAACAAAUUGAAGUGGAUUAAUUAUUUUGACCACUCAAGUUAGCAAUCUUAAAAAAAUGGAAUAUGUCCGGAAAUAUAGAAAGCAAUAUCGGACGACACGCGACAGUUGUGUCACUUGAAGAAAUAAAAACUGACUCGUUUCAAUGGAGUUUGUCUUUGAAACAGAGAUCUGCCAUGUGUCUCGGAAAUGUCAGCAUCGGAUUCAACGCACUCCUGAAUGCACAAAGGUCUGAAUCGAGCCUAACAAAUACCGGUAGAGAAGGUGGAACCUAAAUUGAUGCAAUAAUACCUGGAGGACCUGCUGAUGAGACCAAGAUGUUCACUGUUGGGGAUAGAGUUCUAGCCACCAGAUACACGCCUCUUAAAUUCGAUGAAGUCAGACCUUGAUUAUAUAUUUCAAAAGCCAAGGUUGGUUGACUAGCUGCUGCAGUUGUUUAUGCUGUUGGUGGAGUCGGAUCAUUCGGAAUUCAAAUUCAGCAACUUAAACAUACAUUCUUGCAUUUUACAUGUCCAACACUGAACUCAUGGAGCACCGUAACAUCACCUAUUUGAAGGAUUUGGAUUUGGCUCGCCGUGAUUACACUGUGAAGGUUCGUGUACUUCGGUUAUGGAAGCAACCCAUGUAUAACAAUCCAGAACAGUUUUACUCAAUCGAGAUGAUUGUUGUUGAUGAAGAGGUAUAUGUUUCAAAUCUAUUUU